rnacentral:rRNA from 1 species
GAUGGACGCUGGCGGCGUGCUUAACACAUGCAAGUCGAACGGAAAGGCUCCUGCUUGCAGGGGUACUCGAGUGGCGAACGGGUGAGUAACACGUGGGUGAUCUGCCCUGCACUUCGGGAUAAGCCUGGGAAACUGGGUCUAAUACCGGAUAGGACGAUGGUUUGGAUGCCAUUGUGGAAAGUUUUUCGGUGUGGGAUGAGCUCGCGGCCUAUCAGCUUGUUGGUGGGGUAAUGGCCUACCAAGGCGUCGACGGGUAGCCGGCCUGAGAGGGUGUACGGCCACAUUGGGACUGAGAUACGGCCCAGACUCCUACGGGAGGCAGCAGUGGGGAAUAUUGCACAAUGGGCGCAAGCCUGAUGCAGCGACGCCGCGUGGGGGAUGACGGCCUUCGGGUUGUAAACUCCUUUCGCUAGGGACGAAGCGUUCUGUGACGGUACCUGGAGAAGAAGCACCGGCUAUCUACGUG